rnacentral:rRNA from 1 species
AGCAGUAGCCGCGGUAAUACGGAGGGUGCAAGCGUUAAUCGGAAUUACUGGGCGUAAAGCGCACGCAGGCGGUCUGUCAAGUCAGAUGUGAAAUCCCCGGGCUUAACCUGGGAACUGCAUUUGAAACUGGCAGGCUAGAGUCUUGUAGAGGGGGGUAGAAUUCCAGGUGUAGCGGUGAAAUGCGUAGAGAUCUGGAGGAAUACCGGUGGCGAAGGCGGCCCCCUGGACAAAGACUGACGCUCAGGUGCGAAAGCGUGGGGAGCAAACAGGAUUAGAUACCCCGGUAGUCCCUGUCUCUUAUAC